AGGGAUAUAGCUCAGUGGUAGAGUGCUUGCCUAGGUAUUCAAGACCCUGGGUUCAAUCCCCAGUACUGCAA
rnacentral:tRNA from 1 species